CCUACGGGUGGCUGCAGUAAGGAAUAUUGGUCAAUGGAGGAAACUCUGAACCAGCCAUCCCGCGUGAAGGAUGAAGGGGCUCUGCCUUGUAAACUUCUUUUGUCUGGGGCGAAAAAGCUCGAUUUAUCGAGAACUGACGGUACCAGAAGAAUAAGCACCGGCUAACUCCGUGCCAGCAGCCGCGGUAAUACGGAGGGUGCAAGCAUUACUGGGAUUCAAGGGUGUGAAGGCGGCCUAGUAAGUCAGAGUUGAAAGGCUGUGGCUUAACCAUGGAAUUGCCAUUGAUACUGCAGAGCUUGAAUGAGGUUGAGGUUGGCGGAAUGUGACAUGUAGCGGUGAAAUGCUUAGAUAUGUCAUGGAACACCGAUUGCGAAGGCAGCUGACUGGACCUAUAUUGACGCUGAGGCACGAAAGCGUGGGGAGCGAACAGGAUUAGAUACCCCAGUAGUC
rnacentral:rRNA from 1 species